UUUCCGUAGGUGAACCUGCGGAAGGAUCAUUAUCGAGCUAAAAAAAGACUCUCGCUAAGGCACCUAGAGAGCCGUCGUUGUGUCGCCUUCGGCCGCGACGCUUGCUUAAGCGCGAUCGGAUCGCUCUAACUCAACGCGUACCCGGUUAAUUCCGGGGACGCGCGUUAGAGUGUGAAGUCGUGUAAGGGCGGCGCGCGGUUAAGGCCGGUCGCCGGCUACCCAGCCGUACGUGACUGCCCUUUAAACGACGCGAGUAAGGGACCGCCGCGGACUCGCCUCGCACAAAAAACUUGACUACGUGUGUUGAGUUGGCGUCUACGCCUGAGCCUGGAGUUACGGUUGCCCCUCCGUCGACCGGCGUGAUGGCCAGGAGACAGUUCCCGACUCGGGUAAAAUCGGUCGGUCGAGCAGACUUAAUGAGCGCCGGACAGGGCGUCGCCAGCGAACCACUCUUUAACGAGGUUACCGAGUUGUGAUCACCUUCUGACUAAGCUUGACUCUGAGUCGGAAAAAAUUACUACUCUAAGCGGUGGAUCACUCGGCUCGU
rnacentral:misc_RNA from 1 species